GCCAGUGUGGUGUAGUGGUUUGAGUGUUGGACUCCAACUCUAGAUACCAAAGUUCAAUUCCCAGCUCAGCCA